rnacentral:rRNA from 1 species
UACGUAGGGGGCAAGCGUUGUCCGGAAUCAUUGGGCGUAAAGCGCGUGUAGGCGGUCCGGUAAGUCCGCUGUGAAAGUCGGGGGCUCAACCCUCGAAAGCCGGUGGAAACUGGUGGGCUAGAGUACGGAAGAGGCGAGUGGAAUUCCUGGUGUAGCGGUGAAAUGCGCAGAUAUCAGGAGGAACACCAAUUGCGAAGGCAGCUCGCUGGGACGUUACUGACGCUGAGACGCGAAAGCGUGGGGAGCAAACAGG